rnacentral:tRNA from 1 species
GGGGAUAUAGCUGAGUGGCACAGCAUCUGCGUGGCAAACACAAGAGCCUGAGUUUGAGUCUUGGUAUCCUA